CCUACGGGUGGCAGCAGUGAGGAAUAUUGGUCAAUGGACGAGAGUCUGAACCAGCCAAGUAGCGUGAAGGAUGAAUGCCCUAUGGGUUGUAAACUUCUUUUAUAUGGGAAUAACAUGUUCCACGUGUGGGAUUUUGUAUGUACCAUAUGCAUAAGGAUCGGCUAACUCCGUUCCAGCAGCCGCGGUAAUACGGAGGAUCCGAGCGUUAUCCGGAUUUAUUGGGUUUAGAGGGAGCGUAGGUGGAUUGUUAAGUCAGUUGUGAAAUUUUGCGGCUCAACCGUAAAAUUGCAGUUGAAACUGGCAGUCUUGAGUACAGUAGAGGUGGGCGGAAUUCGUGGUGUAGCGGUGAAAUGCUUAGUGAUCACGAAGAACUCCGAUUGCGAAGGCAGCUCACUGGACUGCAACUGACACUGAGGCUCGAAAGUGUGGGUAUCAAACAGGAUUAGAUACCCCGGUAGUC
rnacentral:rRNA from 1 species